rnacentral:lncRNA from 1 species
CACAGGGAUGGAUGGGCCGCAGGCAUGGGCUGAUGCUUCCCUUAAAAGAGUUGAGGAUGCCCAUCUCAGGGCUGGGAGCUCUACGUGGUGCUUGGAGCACCAGUUGUCCUGAGCAGGUGUACUGAAGCUGGGAAAGCCCUUGGCCUCUGUCCCUUUCUUGGUCUUGAUCCACGGCUGUCCUGUGCCCACCACGCUGCCAUGUGCAGCCAGCCCAAGGGCUGGGACUCCAUCAGGGCAGCAAAGGCUAAGCCGAGGUUGACUGCCCAGCUCAGCAGGGCAUCGAAGCAGGCUUGGGCUUGAGUCCAACACUUUCCCAGAGGCAGCUAGCGGCGUGGGGGCUGGACGGCCAGUGCUCCAGGCCUUUGCCCAUAUCAUUUGUGGUGUCCCAGCCAAACCAGACUCACCGGGGCUGCAUUUAGUGGCUUAGCACUCAGAGUCAUCCUCCCCAGGCCUCCCAGAGUAACUGGAAGCCCAGUUCAUCUUCUGUCCUUGCUGGAGGAGGCCCCAUGGGUGGCAGUGAGCCUUUUCCAGGGAGUCUCCACUCGGUGCCAGGAUGCUGGUGUUGGCGGUGCUUCGGGCAUGGUGGGAACAGCCUCAGACCCCGCUGACAGUCACAUUCCUUCAGACUGCAUCUGAAAGGAACCUUGUCAUCCAGAUAGACCAACCCUCACCUCUGCAUCAACUCUCCAGGGCUGGUGGCCAGCGUCCUGCCUGCUUUCCUGAGAGCCUGGAAGGAUGCAGUUAGCGGAACAGCUCUUCAAGGAAUCCAGCGAUAGAGAAGAUAAGUGCCUUGCCCUCCUGGCGCUAAGAUAUCAUCUCCCAUCCAUGGCCUCAGGGGUGAGAGCGCAGCCUCUAGGCUGGGUGGUCUGGGAUCAAUUCCCGGCUCCUCCGUCACUCUCCGCAACCUUGGCCGUGUGACUUGCAACCUCAUGCUCCCUUUCCUCACCUGCAGUGAGGACAAGCUGAGGGCUUCAAGAGACGAUGCUUCACACACAGCGAGUGCAUGCGUGAAUAAGCUGCAGCCACACAGACUCACAAUCAGGAAUCAGGGACCAUCAGAGGAAAGACUCCUGUCUGAAGGAUGUGCCUUUAUCCCAGACACUGACAAACACCUUUGCCAAGAGAACUCAGAAACAACUGCAAACCCCAACCCAAAAAAUUGGACUCUGGAAAACGGCUCGUGAAAUCUCAGCAUCUGCCUUGUCUGGUGAGCCUCGUAAGCCACU